AGCAGUAGGGAAUCUUCCACAAUGGACGAAAGUCUGAUGGAGCAAUGCCGCGUGAGUGAAGAAGGUUUUCGGAUCGUAAAACUCUGUUGUUGAAGAAGAACAUAUGUGAGAGUAACUGUUCACGUACUGACGGUAUUCAACCAGAAAGCCACGGCUAACUACGUGCCAGCAGCCGCGGUAAUACGUAGGUGGCAAGCGUUGUCCGGAUUUAUUGGGCGUAAAGAGAAUGUAGGCGGUUCAUUAAGUUUGAAGUGAAAGCCCUCGGCUCAACCGAGGAAGUGCUUCGAAAACUGGUGAACUUGAGUGCAGAAGAGGAAAGUGGAACUCCAUGUGUAGCGGUGGAAUA
rnacentral:rRNA from 1 species